rnacentral:rRNA from 1 species
UCAGUGGCGAACGGGUGAGUAACACGUGAGUAACCUGCCCCAGACUCUGGAAUAACCCCGGGAAACCGGAGCUAAUACCGGAUACGAGACGGAGUCGCAUGACUACCGUCUGGAAAGUUUUUCGGUCUGGGAUGGACUCGCGGCCUAUCAGCUUGUUGGUGAGGUAACGGCUCACCAAGGCGACGACGGGUAGCCGGCCUGAGAGGGCGACCGGCCACACUGGGACUGAGACACGGCCCAGACUCCUACGGGAGGCAGCAGUGGGGAAUAUUGCACAAUGGGCGAAAGCCUGAUGCAGCGACGCCGCGUGAGGGAUGACGGCCUUCGGGUUGUAAACCUCUUUCAGCAGGGAAGAAGCGAAAGUGACGGUACCUGCAGAAGAAGCACCGGCUAACUACGUGCCAGCAGCCGCGGUAAUACGUAGGGUGCGAGCGUUGUCCGGAAUUAUUGGGCGUAAAGAGCUUGUAGGCGGUUUGUCGCGUCUGCCGUGAAAUUUCGGGGCUCAACCCCGAACUUGCGGUGGGUACGGGCAGACUAGAGUGUGGUAGGGGAGACUGGAAUUCCUGGUGUAGCGGUGAAAUGCGCAGAUAUCAGGAGGAACACCGAUGGCGAAGGCAGGUCUCUGGGCCACUACUGACGC